AGCAACUUCACUUCAGGAAUCCCAGUGUAAUCCUCCCACAGUAACUGGGUGAGAGACAGACAUGGGAGACACUUGGAGACAGGGACUAUGACUAUGGCAGGGACAAUAAUUGUGCUAGACAUAGACCCCCUGAGAAGCGUAAGCUUAGGCCAUAAAGGACUUCCUCCCUUCCCCAUGUUGAGAAGCCAGGCCAGGCCUGUGCUGUACUCUGAAAUGGCUGAAAGUGCUGACAUUAAGUUCAGCAGACUGCUUGAACCUUUGUCCCGCUACCUACCUCCAGCACAGGUCAGAGGUCUGAUUGCUUUCUUCAUCUACCAACAUGACUACGGAUGCAUUUCAGCUUGUUCAGUUGCUACAGCCUAAAGUAAACAGACAGAGAAACCUCUGGAACAGGGGAAACCUCACAAACCUACUGGCUAUAAAGCUAGGAGGAAAAAACCAUGACUUACUGGAUUCUAAAACUGCAAUCCUGGAAAGAAACCACUCAUUCCAAAAUACACAGAAAUAUUUUUUUCUUUCUUUGGACUCAUUUUUUUUUCUCACUUUUUUCUCUUUCUUCUUCAGUGGUUUUGGGGAAAUGGUGAGACUGGAGGACUGCUCGCCUCAACCUACCCAGUGUGAUUAUUGCAGCACAUAUGGUUUAGAGCCGUUGAGAAAAAUAAUGGAUCUGCCUGAAUUAGCACCUGACUUGGGUGAGCACCGAAGCAGAAAUUCCCCCUCCUUUGAACACAUUGGCUCAGUGAGGCAGGCCAAACCCUAUAAUCAUCAUUGAUUAUCUCAUUCGGCAUGACUCCUGGGAAAUCUUGGGUGAAAGCAAAUUGAAUCGGAUAUUUGCUGCCACUCUUGUAAAAGAGGCCUCUUUCAGAUUAAUUUCAGGGAUGACGGGAGCCCAGAAAAUGAAGCCCCAGAGCAGUGUGGCCAAGGGGGCUGUCUGGCAUUGUGAGAAGUGAGCAGAUGUAUAUAAAAGGUGGCUUUGGAGGAAAGCACAACCUUUUAGCAUAGAGGAUUAGUCACAGAGGGAGGCUCCUUGGUAGAAGAACUUGUCAGCCCAGCUGGCACAGGCAAAAGGCUGGUUGUUAAGGGAGAUUAAUUAAAUAAGGUCCAGACCCCAUUGUUCCUCUGGGUGUCCAGGUUCCCUGGGGAGGAAGGAAUUCUCUGAGGUAGGAUAUCAGGCACAAAGGGAGAAAACUCCUUUUGUGGACUGUAGGUCAUUCCAAGGAAUCCUUUCCCCUUAGGGGAAGAAUUGAAUAGGCAAAACUUGAAAAGGCCAAGGGUUUAUUUACUGAGAGAAGGAUUUAGGCGGGAAAGUCCUGCUGGAAGUCCAGCGAGCUCCAUUUCUCUGCCUCAGCCCCUUUGGGUAGGGCUAAACUUAUUCUGAGUCCAGAGGCCCCUGCAGCAUUUGGCUGAAGCCCCCCCUGUCCUGGACCUUCACCUGGGAUCACACACCAGCUGACUUCCUCCAUUUUCCCCUCCUUAUUUCCCCACUCAAUUUCCAGUUCACCCUGGGAGCACAAAUCAUCUUGGAAUCUGCUCCUAGUAAACCUUACUUAAGACAUUAGCCCUGACUUGUACAUUAGGCAACUGAAGAAUGUAGUGAGAUGAAGUCAAAGUCAUACAAAUAGGUGGCUGAGCUGGGAUUUACAACUGGUCCAGAAUUCAUUUCUUUAUAUCACCCACAUAGCCCACUACCAAGGAGGAAGAGUUUGUACAAGGAAACCUUGGUGAAUUGUUCGUGCUUUGUGUCAUACUCUUACUCCCUUUUAAUAGUUUCUUGGACAUAAGGCCAAAGGUACAGGCCCUGUAGCAGCAGCUCUUGGGGAGUUUGUGGUUGAACUUUCAGCAUUUCUCAGCAGGGGUAUUCCAUUCAGUUUUUGCUAAAAUUUUAGAAAGUUACCUUCCUUGCAGAUGGAUUUGUAGCUUCUUCUAUGUUUUGGUGCUAUGGUACAGCCACAUGGGAGAUAUCACACUGAGGAGUCAUUGGUUUGUAUUUAUUUCCUUCAAAAGCUAGAGACUGGGGACCACUGACAUGAUCCUGUCAUUGUCAUCUGCCUGCUGAGGGGGAAAUAAACUUUGAGAACUGUGCCAUGGCUAAAGCACUGGAUUUAGGUGCCAGAGAUAUUGUGAAUGCCUAAAAGUUGAGCAGGGAGAUAAGUUAUAAAGAUGGGUGAUGCUAGAGACAGAAGUUGCUUUGAACUUAAAAAGAUUCAAAUCCUGACCCAUAAAUUAGAUGUCACCUUAAGAAAAAUGACUUAACCUUCAAGUCCCAUUUAAUCACCUGUAUAAUAGAGUCUAAUUGUCACUGAAUAUAGAAUUGCUGUGGCUUUUUAAUGAGAUAAUGAAUGCAUACAAAGGGCCCAAUGUAAGGUUUGGUACAUAAUAGUCAAUGAUGAUACCUGUGCUUUAUUAAUAGCUUAAUUACAAAUAGGUUUUGCUAAUAUUAAAAAGUAGGAAAUGGUCAGGAGAGUGUAUAAAAUAUAGCUAGUUGAUAUAUUAGUACAUCUUAGGAUAUCCUUGAAAUCUAGCAAACUGUGCCUGCUCGCAAAGUAGUUCUUAUUCUGUGCCUGUGAUCAGGAGGAAUUGAAGGCAAGAUCUGUGUUAUGAAAGCUCCAUUUUUUUUAAAGGAACUCUGCCUUCCAUAGCCAGUUCAGUGAUGACACUACAAAAUAUGGAGCCAUGACUGUGAACUUUUUUAUUUUGAUAGGGUUCUGUAACUUCAGACUUGCAGACAAAUAUUUAAUGUUUAGGAAGGAAUUGCUUGGCUAGGUUGGGCUCUCUUGAUUUGAAGAUCACUGAAAUUCAUUCUCUACAUGUGCCCAAUUAGCCCUCUUGGUCUUAAAAAUAGAUGCUCUGAGUAUUAGCUGUGUAAUUGGGACAAAGGAUACUGACACUACCCCCAAAGGACACCCAAAGGUCUCUUUUCUCUAUCCUGAACAGCUGAUGUUAAUAUUAAACAGAUAAUAAAUGAAUAUACUCUUGUCUAUAUCUUGAGUUACUGAUUCAUAAAUGAUACCUCUAGUCACUACUGUGGCUAAAUUUGGGAAGAUGACCUCCAAGAUUCUAGAAUAAGAUACAAUGACAAUUUCUUGAGCCUUGCAGGAUUUCUUAUGCUGGCUUUUGCUUGUUAGUGGUUUGUUUUUGUCUCUUCAAUGAUCUAGACAUAGAUUUUAGCUUAGAGCUUUCUUGUAAAUACAAAACACUCAGUUAUGCAUUUUUGAAAGACUAAACUGGCAAGGGAGUGUGCUAUCUGGGUUGGGGGCCCUUAGCUGAUGAGAAUAUGCUCCUGGGAGGAGUCAUGGGCUGAUUGUCAUGUUUCUAGGAAAAGUGCUGAGCUAGGGCUGUUCUCUUACCUCCUGGCUAUGAGAGACAAUCCUAACUUUAAGCAAAGGCAUUCCAGAGAUAUCCACUUCCUGCACCAAUAAGGAUGAGAUAAGAGGCCAGGGCCACAGUUCCUAAAGGCUUCUAGAUUUCCUCUGCCAGCUAUGCUUGAUCUGGUGCUUAAAGAUCUUGAAAAAAUGUACUUGUGUUUACAUCGUCCUCAUCACUUAGAGAGUGCUGGGCAAGUUCAUGAUAGAGCACUUGCAGGAUUUGGAAAUGCUGACU
ensembl:lncRNA